UACGUAGGGGGCGAGCGUUGUCCGGAUUUAUUGGGCGUAAAGAGCGUGUAGGCGGCUUGGUAGGUCCGCUGUGAAAACUCGAGGCUCAACCUCGAGAUGUCGGCGGAAACCACUUGGCUAGAGUCCGGAAGAGGAGAGUGGAAUUCCCGGUGUAGCGGUGAAAUGCGCAGAUAUCGGGAAGAACACCUAUGGCGAAGGCAGCUCUCUGGGACGGUACUGACGCUGAGACGCGAAAGCGUGGGGAGCGAACAGG
rnacentral:rRNA from 1 species